rnacentral:rRNA from 1 species
AUUGAACGCUGGCGGCAGGCCUAACACAUGCAAGUCGAGCGGAUGAAGGGAGCUCUCUCCUGGAUUCAGCGGCGGACGGGUGAGUAAUUCCUAGGAAUCUGCCUUGUAUUGGGGGAUAACGUCCGUAAACGGGCGCUAAUACCGCAUACGUCCUGAGGGAGAACGUGGGGGAUCUUCAGACCUCACGCUAUCAGAUGACCCUAGGUCGGAUUAGCUAGUUGGAGGGGUAAAGGCCUACCAAGGCGACGAUCCGUAACUGGUCUGAGAGGAUGAUCAGUCACACUGGAACUGAGACACGGUCCAGACUCCUACGGGAGGCAGCAGUGGGGAAUAUUGGACAAUGGGCGAAAGCCUGAUCCAGCAAUGCCGCGUGUGUGAAGAAGGUCUUCGGAUUGUAAAGCACUUUAAGUUGGGAAGAAGGGAAGUAAGUUAAUACCUGGCUGUUUUGACGUUACCAAAAGAAUAAGCACCGGCUAACUUCGUG